rnacentral:sRNA from 1 species
AGCGGAAGUGCUUCAGCGGUGGGGGCCGGGGAAGUGUCUGUAGCGUCCCUCCCUCUCAACCACAAUAACAGGCGGAGGGUCGGCGUAGGUACUUUGAACUCAAGUAAACAAAAGGGAAUAUUUUCUCGUUGAUACUGGAGACUGCACAACAAUGGGGCCACGAAAAAAAAGUGUGAAAACAUGUAUCAUGAAUAAUGAAAUUCCAGAAGAAAUGACAGCAGAUGAAACAAAGGACUAUAUGAAUCAACUUUCACAUGAAGUACUUUGCCAUAUUUUUAGGGGUAAGAAGAAGGACGAGAAGUAGAAAAAAAAUGGAUCAGCUAAAUAUUCAACAGGUACCUGCCUCUGCAGGAUAUCAUGUGUAUGGAAUGUCUUUCCCGGAAACUAAAGGAAGCAGUGACCCUAUAUCUGCGAGUUGUGAGAGUUGUAGAUCUCUGUGCAGGGCGGUGGUGGGAAUACAUGCCAAGUGGCUUUACAGAUUCCAGUUUUCUAACACUAUUAAAGAAGAUGCCAGAUGUUGAACAGCUAUAUGGCCUUCACCCUCGAUACCUUGAGAGGCGAAGAGUAAGGGGCCAUGAGGCUUUUAGCAUUCCAGGAGUCCUGGAAGCUUUGCAGGCAUGCCCAA